rnacentral:lncRNA from 1 species
UCUCCCCUUUCCUAAAGCCUAAGACAAAAACUAAAAAAUAAAAUUAAAGUGACUGAUGCUGCUCUCUGUUUUCUAUGGCCUGCUUCCACUCUCUCUAUUUCCUCCAUCCUUAUUUUCCGACCCCUAUAUUUAUAGCCUUCACAAUAUCUUCGAGUAAAAUUGGGCUCUAAAUCAUGUUCAAACUACUCAACCCAUGCUUGCCGUC